GCGUGAUCUCGGCUUACCGCAACCUUUGCCUCCCAGGUUCAAGCAAUUCUCCUGCUUCAGCCUUCCAAGUAGCUGGGAUUACAGGCAUGCGCCACCAUGGUUGGCUAAUUUUGUAUUUUUAGUAGAGACAGAGUUUCUCUCUGUUGGUCUGGCUGGCCUCAAAUUCCCAACCUCAGGUGAUCUGCCCGCCUCCGCCUCCCAAAGUGCUGGGAUUACAGGCAUGAGCCACCACGCAGGGCCAGAAUUCAGGUUUUAACCAAUGUUCUGGAUGUAAAUGGUACACAGAAUCUGCGUAUUGGGGGUGGGGAGGGGCACAACCCCCUAAGAGUCUCUCUUGCUCCUGGACGGCAUGAUGGGAAGUGACCUGUUCCACUUGUCGAGAACUAGUGGACCCCAUGUUUCCCUCUAGCUUGGACACUAUGGUUCUCAGGAGGAAUCCUCACCCCCGGCCAGGAGCCCUUCUCCUCCACCUACUACUGCUGGGCUCUACCUCCCCCACUUUUAAUUUUAAGCCUUGGCUCAAAAUUCACUCCCCAAUAUUUCUCCCCUUCUCUCUACUUUCGUCCUCAAUAAUCCCAAGCAGCUGGGGUGUACAAGUCGUUUUCACCUCUUGGGACCGUGCUAAAGGGGGCAGCCUAUGAUUACCAUGAGGGUAUGGGAGCCCUGAACUGCAAAUCUAUCAUUUCCAGAGAAGCCAGAAAUCUGAAAUUUUCUGUGCAAUUUCUGAAACUUUAAAUCAGAAUUUUUUCUAAAAUUCAAUGGGUCAGAUACCACAGUCUGUGUAAUCAAUCCAUUCCAAAGUCUCCUCCUUUUGCUAAAGGAGAAGAUUCCUUAAAACAAGGCAGAAGCCAACUGAAGCAAGGGAGAACCACCUCCCACCCCUCCCCACACACACUUUCCACACCCAGUAACUAGGUCUCUGGGCGGAUAAUUCUGUUUUGUUUUGUUUUUUUUAAUUUUGGACAGCUAAUCUCUGUAGUGAGGAACCCAGAACUUUCGGUAAUGUAAGGGAUAUUAGUCUGGUUGUCAGAAAAAUGGGCUGGAGUAUUUGUGCUGUGUCCCUGACCAUAAUUCCUGCUCAGUUGCUUAGCUCCCUGGCAACUAUGUCUGAGGGCUAAACAGGAGUUGGUGUGAUCUUCCAGAAAAAGAACAGGCUUCUUGUCUUGCAGAGGCAGGAAGUCAGAAAACAAGAGUGUGUGUGUGUGUGUCAGGGGGUGGGGGGUGUCAGGUUGCAGUGAGCCAGGAUCUUGGCCACUGCUCUCCAGCCUGGGUGACAGAGUGAGCCUGUCUCAAAAAAAAAAAAAAAAAGAGUGAGCAAUCCUCAAAGUAUCCAAGAACAACUACACGCCCCAAGGGGAAAACCAGCUGGAUUGCUUAGGCCUUGGCUGUAGUCACUAAAGAAUGGCAUCAAUCUCAGAAACCCUCAAGAUGGGGUCAAUUUAGGAAGAAGCUGUUUAUUCUGUACUGUCUUUGGCCUCCACCUAAGGUCUGGCAUCGACCCACCCUUCAGGCUCAUAGUUCAGCGAGGUUAGAGCACUUAGGGAGAAGCAGGUAACACAUCCAGGGUUUGAGAGAAGACCAGCACACAACUCUCAGUGAUCUGGAUAGAGGAAGACUAAAUUACUGUGGUUCAGGCAGCCUUGCCAGGUGAUGUCUUCCCAAAACUUCUCAGAUGUAUAUUCCUCCCUGAUUGUGCCACCUAGGCCUCCUUCCCUUCAGUUUGGGACUUAAAACUUCCACCAAUAACGUGAGUAUGUGCACCCAUGCAGCAGCCUGUCCGAGGACUCACAACUGGAGACACCUCCCUGCUUGGCGCUGCCCAGAAAACUAUGUAGAUGGCCAAGAAACCGACUUCCAUUAUAAAAUGUUUUUCUGUGUGUACCAGGAAAAAGAUGCUCAAAAUCCAAAUCACCACUUUAUUAUGUGGCAGUCACCAUGGUGCCAGCCUCUGCCUUCCCCAUGUCACCCUCCUAAUCCAGGGCUCUCCAACCAUAUUCAUGUUUGCGUUUUCACAAGUCAAUGUCCAUUAAGGCCUUGUGCUCCCCUUUUCUUCAGUACAGGGCAGGGCCCUUAUAAUUUGGGUCUCAAGAAUUGAUAGUUGUCUCUUAACUGGUUCUGGUGAGGCGCACUCACAGCAGUGAGUGGAGGGUCCUGGGAGGGCAUGGAUGACGGAGGCUGCCCCUAGAGGAGCUGGAUGUAGGAGCAGAGACAUUUCUUGAUCUUUCACUCUGCAAACUGGUCCAAGAACUUGAGAGGGGAUGACUUUGUCAGUGUCCCCAAAAACAUGGAGCGAAGGCAAUGACAAGGGCCUUUGCAGGAUGGAUUCCUUGAACCCAAUGCCCCGGGGACAGAAACCAGACACCAAGAGGAUAAACCGUGGCAAGGGGAAGCGGGGAUCGCCUGCCUGGCCCAGGGCACACAC
rnacentral:lncRNA from 1 species